rnacentral:lncRNA from 1 species
GCAAAAACAGACAGUAUAGGUACAGGAGAAGGAUAUUGCUCAUAUUGAAGUGCUUAAACAAAUUCUUGUUGUGGCUGUUUGUGCCUUUACAAGUUUAUUGCAUCCCACUGUGUUUUUUUCAAGCAGGUUUACAUCUCUGGGAACUGCUUACUUCUGGAAGGCAGACAUCAGUCACAAAGAACAGCUAUUUUGGAGUUCUAGACCUUCAUCCUAAUACCUACAUUGAGAUUUCCACUUCUGCAUCACAGGACUUCAAGCCCCUCAUUCCCAGGAAUUUCUUUGGUUCUUCGCACUUAGUUCAGUAUGAAAGAUGUUUUGCCAGAAAUGCAGCACUACCUGCAGAACUUUGAAUUUAGGGGACAAGACUGUGCAUCAUGGUAGGAAGAAAGGAAGCAGAAGAGGAUGAAAUAGGAAAAGAAAAACCCAUGCAUAUUUAAGUACAAGUCAUCAGAAGCAGAUUGUUGUAGAACUGCUUGUAUGAGGAUAAUCUCUGUGUUACAACGUCUUUCAAAAUAUGUUAAAAUCCCUAAAUCAGCCACGAGGCUCCUGGCAGAUAUUGGAGGAAUUUGGGAGCAUUUUGUGCAGAAGCUUGGUGUUGAUUUGGUGUGUGAUCCACAGUGUUGUGAGCUGGUGUGUCUACAGUGUUUUUAAUUAUU